rnacentral:lncRNA from 1 species
CACCACCACCACCACCACCACAACAGAGAUCUUCUCCACUCCUAUUCUAAUCAACCCCUCGCCGCCGCCGCCGCCGCAGAUCGCACCACCGACCGACCGAAGCGAUGGCCGCCUCCACCGUCGCGUCCAGGGCCGUGGCCGUCCUCGCCGUCCUGUCGGUCGCCGCCCUCUCCGUCGUCUCCGCGCAGGAGGCCCCGGCGCCGAGCCCCGUGUCGGCCGCCGGCGCAGCGGCGCCGUCCCUCGCCGCAGCGCUCGUCGCCUCCGGCGCCGCCUUCCUCUUCGCCGCCGUCCGCCACUGAAGCGGCCGCCUCCGUCCUCGCCGACCGUCCGUCCGUUCAUCGAUGGCUCCUCCUCUACAUCUACAUAGUACCGCCGCGUAGAUCCGUUUAGCGCCGCUGCUGUUACCACUAGCGAUUUGUUGGUUGUUCGUGUCCGCUUGGCCUGAUCUGCCUGCUACUGUCCGUCGCUCGGUGACGAUGAUGAUGAUGAUUAUUACAUCCUUGGUAGAGAUUGUACCCGUGUGCUUGUAGAUACGUACUUCUCACCACUGCUAUUUAUCCGGUUUGAUCUGCUGAUAUAUUCGCUGGGUUUAAUUUUGAUGAUGCUUUUCUGUCAGUCGUGAUUUCCUGAAUUUUGAUGCGCGUGAGCGUGGUGAAUUCUGUUCCUCGCCACCGCGACAGUGCACGAACCUAUUUUUCUUAGCAGAAUCGUUAUUUUUGCUUGCUCUGCUCUCUUCAGUCGAGACAACACCUACAUGCGAGAGAUGGCUGAUCGCGCAACAGAUGAAAACCUAGAUUUAAUAUAAGUGAGUAUUAAAUUGGAGAAGAAACUCCACAUGUUUGAGUAAAAAACAGCAGCAGCGACUGCUGCAGCGCAAUAAACAUAGUGAUGGGCUGAGGCAGGGGCCAUGGGUUGCUUGUGCUGCUCGUUUGGACUGCCUGCCGUGAAUUGACCAGGGUCAUUUUCUUGUUGCGAUUCUUGGUAAAAAAAAAAAAAACUUUGCCCGCUCUAUGAAACAAGUGCCUUGUUACCGCCAUUCUACCCAGCUUUCCAUCAGCAGUCAGCACAAGGAAACAAUAUAACAGCAUAACAAUCCAUUCCAUAGAGUAUACCAGAGACCCAACAAAUGUAAAUCAGUCUCUUUCCUUCGUGAGCACCGGCAGGUUUAGGUUAGUUGAUAAGAUCAUUUGCCAUUUGGCCUUGUGUUGUAGCGUCUCAUGUCACAUAUUCCAGUGUUUUGUUUGCGUUGAUCAUUGCCAAUGCGAGCCUGCGUCCGGGCUUGGCAAUGGCGAUGCAGUUAACGCGAACUGUGACCAUUUGCUGUCCUUGUGAACCGUGGGCAUGUUUGCCCGCGUUGCAUUCGCAUUUUCAUUUGCCGUCUUUUUGCCACCACGUCGCACUAUGAUAUCGUGUUCAGUUUGCACUAUGAUAUCAAGUUUGCCAUGGCAAAAAAUAAAAGUGAAGAAUUUGCCAUGGUGUAGUCAAAUUUGCCAUGUCAACAAAGGUAAAUUUUCCAUUGCAAAAUGAAAGUAAACUUUGCCAUGUCAAUAAAGUAAAAAAACUGCCAUGUCUUACACAUCAGAAAACAGAAUUUUGCCAUCUUAAUGCGAUUUUUUUUGCCAUGUGGACAUUACCUACAAAAGUGUAAAAUUUGACCAUGUGAAAAAGGUUGAAAGUCCCAUGGCAACUUUCAAACCAUUCAUAAUUAGGGGCACAAUUUAUACGAAGAGGUAUUUUGGCCAUGGCAAAUUUCAAAAUACCAUGUACUCCCUCCGUUCCAAAAAAAUUCAUGGACACGCAUGCAUGGUAUUUUUGAGAUUUCACAUGGCACAAUUGAUGGUGGACAAACAUGCAUGUUAUUUUUGAGAUUUCACAUGGCACAAUUGAUGCUGGACACACAUACUCCCUUCGUUCCAAAAUAGAUGACUCAACUUUGUACUAACUUUGAAUUUUUUUGCACAUACGAAAUUUGGUCAAAUUAGCAUCACAUCACAUAGUUUGCCAUAACUAUGUGUACAAUGCAACAAAUUUGGGUCAAAUUAGCAUCACAUCGCAUGGUUUGCAGUGUGAUAUAUAAAAAUUCAGAUAUAAGUUUGGUCCGAUUAAGCAUCACAUCACAAAAAGGUUUGCUAUGAACUAUGUGUAAAGUGCAUAAAAAUUGUAGGGGAUGAGCAUCCACGGGGAGAACCUGACAUGCUGCUACCGUUAGUUCCCGAUGAAGCUCUUCCCCUCCUGCUUCUGCGCGUCAACGGAGGAUCUUCUCCAUCGACCCUAGUAGAUGCCGCGGCCAGGGCAUCCCGCGCCACCACGCGCCCGCCUCCCAUGUAGGACGAUGGCACCGCCACCUCCCUAGGUCACCAUCACCUCCGAUCCAUCGCGUCCGAGACCUUGUAGACAUCGCCAUCGCCGUUGCUCCCUCUCGAGCAACAUCUCCACGGAUCCCUCAUCCUCGUCUUCCUCGACCCCUUUGUCGCGACGGUGUCGGGAUCUGGUCAGGGACAAGCCUCGUCGCCGGCGCAAGGCCAUCUCCGAGGUCUGAUGGAGCGCUAGUGCAGUGCGCUCUGCACGAGCGGUGGAGACAAAUGGAGAAGAGGAUAGUAUAAGGUACGACGUUUGGGACGAAGCCUAGUUUUACCGAACGAGAAAAUAAGGUGACUUGGUUGCUAUAAGAUUCGUGUCUAGAAAAACGUUAGGAAACAAACUGCCCACCGCUUCGUUCCCAACCGCCCAGGAGAGGCGAUUUGGCACGUGAAGCUAUUCCUGCUUCCUAUUCCCGGCGAGGCCAUCGGCUCCUCUGCCCUCCUCUCGCCGCUCCGGCGGUAGCAGGAGGGUGGGGGAUCCUGGGUCCUUUCAUCCGGUCUGUAUAUAGGUUUAGGAUAGGCAUGUCGGGUGACGGGGCUCGUUCGGUUCCGACGCCGCCAUCAUGAAUGAAGUUUUCCGGGCCACUGCUUCGACAACAUUGUUCAACGGUGUCGAGGAGCCACAGAUUUGUGUUCGAACAAGUUCUUCAAGAUGGCGGUGGAGUUCUUGCUCUGGUUCUUGUUUCUUCGGCUCCGUCCACGUCGCGUCGGGUGCGUCUCCAGCGCCGUCGCAGAGCCGGAAGUAUGUGUCUUGGAGUUGGCCGACGCUCCAGCGCUGGUCUUGUCCAAGGGAUGGUCCACAAGGAGAUUUGGUGUGGAAGAUGGUUGCUGGUUCUUAAGUUUUUCGGCGGCUCUGCCAAUUGAGAACUUCAAGACUGCGAUCCAAGAUGUGUGGAGUAUUACUUCAGCCGACGACCCACAUCGACAUGUGCAACGUCACUUGUGAUGGCGCCUGUUCAGAGGCUCGUAACACAACUUGGCUACUAUGGCACUAUCUUGGAUCUUGGAAAGUUGGAGGCAUGUGUUUCUUCUCUCCGGCGAACGCUUUUGGCGACGACUGGAUUCUUUGGCCAUGGUGGUCGUGGAUGCAGGAGUCCAAAAGAUCAAGUUUCAACUUUUUAUCUUUAUGGGGUUCUCCUUAGAUUUUCUUGUGUGCUAUCUCUCCGGGCUGUUCUAGAGAGAUGUUCCUGCUUUUAUGCAUGACUAGCACAUAUGCUCGUGCGUUGCAACGGGAGAUAAAAUAGUGUGUAAUUUAAAGUUAGUGAGAAUUAUAUGUGCAAGCAAAACCGUAUGUGCACACGAAAAGAAACAUUUAGCAUCCUGGUUCACCGCGUGUGAAGGAAUUAAUCCGCUAUUUUUCCAUCCAUUGCUCGAGCGUAUUUAAGAGUUUUGUUAAUCGUAUGCCACAGAAGGUCUGUGAGUUAUUCAAUCUACUUUUCUUUUCAAUCCUUUCGGUACAGAGGAUUUUAAGGUGUAAAGUUUCUGAAUAUUCUAGAAAACAUGAAUAAUUUUUUAAAUCUUGAACAAUUAUUUGAAAAUUAUGUACACUUUUGGAAAAACGCGAACAAAAUAUGAAAGGGAUCAUCUUUUAAAAUUCACAAACAUUUUCUGAAAACAUGAUUUUUUUAUAAAAAACAUGAACAUUAUUUGAAUUUGUGAACAUUUUUUAAAAUAGGAACAUGUGUUGAAAAUUCAUAAGAUUUUUCGAAAAUGUGUAUCUUUUAUACACGAACAUUAUUUUUAAUUGUGAAAAUUUCACUAAAACAAGAAUAUAUUUCGAAUGUGGAGCAUUUUUUGAGAUGCAAUUUUUCUUUUUAGAAAUUGCAAACAAUUUUAAAAAACAAUAAUGUUUUAAAAAAAAUGGAAACCUUUGCAAGUUCCGAAUAUUUUUCAAGAUAGCAACUAAAUUUUGGAAUUUUGCACAUUUUCCUAAAUUUGUUUUUUAUUCUGAAUGUUUUUCGAGAAUUUUCAAUUUACGAAAUAAAUUCUAAAAAAAUAAAUCUGGAAGGGAAAAAAGGGAUAGGGAAAGGAGAAUAAAAAUAGUAGUAAAACACAAAAACAAAGAAAGAUAUGCCAGCCCAUUAUUGGUUGGCCCGUGCGAAACUCUGACUAUUUGUCACCCUGUGCGAAAAAUAGAAUUUUUGCAGCUGCGUGGGCAGAAAAAUAAGUGGGCUGGCUUUACUGGACCAUAUCGCGCAGCCCACAUACGUAAAUUCGUGUUCUAGUAGAUAAAUGUAUAAAAAUUUAGUACCACCUCGGAUAAUUUUUUUUCUUUUCGGUGAUGAAUGGAUGAAAAUAUUAACGAAACGCACCUUGCUUUAUUAGUAAAAAAUAAAAAAAUUAGUAAAAAUAGGUGAUACUUCUGCUAGAAAAAAAAGAUUCGUGUCUAGAAUUAACGGUUAGAAGGACGACCCAGAUUAUUAAAAUCUGACAUUUGUUUUUUAUCAUUUCGAGAAAUACAAGUCUUGCCUAAUUGUUUUUUGGGAUCGCCUGGAACUCAGCCAGCUGAGACAUAGUUAUGUCUCAGUCACCUGAUGUAUUUUCAUUUGAACAGGAUUUUUUUGGCUGCUCAGCAACCCCCUCGUUUCCUUCGAUCUGGGCUUUUCAUUUUUGGCUGGUCAAUGUCCGUUGUCUUGUCUCGUGGGUUCUCUAGUUAUGGGCCAUGUUGUAGUUUUCUUUUGACUAGGUCCAGCUUCUUUCGUUGACUAACACUCAUAUUUAAAAUUAUACUCUGUGUGGAGAGUACUUAGAGCGCGCUUGCAAAUUCAUAUUGAAAUUGACAACAAGAAAUUCAAAAUUUCAAAAUGAAAUGUUCAAAUUGUGCUCUUGUUUAAUCACAUUUUUUUUUGAAAAAAUGUCCAUGAAUUUAUUCAUAAAAAAUAUAUUCAUGAACUAAAAAAACUGAAGUUUUUUUAAAGGAUAAUUUUAAAAAUGCUUGUGGAAUUAAAAAAAUUGGGAAAAUAUUGUGAGUUUUAAAAACAUUCAUGAAUUUAAGAAAUGUUUAUCGCAGUCGCAAUUGGCUAAAAAAUAACUUACGGUUGCGACCCCAUCCCCUCAAAAUAUUGCGACCUCCUUGAAAAACAUCCGGUCACGACCUCAUUUUAAAACUUGCAGUUGCGAUCCUCUUGAAAGCAUUCAGUGGCGACCCCCCCUAGAGAAACAUGUAGUCGCAACCCUCCUAUGAAAGCAUCCAGUGGCGACCCCCCCUAGAGAAGCAUGUAGUAGCAACCCUCCGAUGAAAGCAUGCAGUUGCGACCCCUUGAAACACAUGCAGUUGAGACAUGCUUUGAAAACAUGCAGUUGUGACCCCAUUUAAAACUUAACAUUGCAACCCCUCUUGAAAACCAUGCAGUUUGUGACCCACCUUAUGCAGUUGCCCCCCCCUCUUGAAAACAUGCAGUUGCGACUCCGACUUAAAAACAUUUAGUUGCGACCCCCUCUUGUAGACAUGCAGUUGCAACCCACCUAAAAAACAUGCAGUUUCAACCCACCUUGAAAACAUGCAGUUGCAGCCCCUCUUGAAAACAUGCAGUUGCGACCCACCUUGAAAACAUCCAGUUGCGACUCCGACUUAAAAACACGCAGUUGCGACCCCCUCUUGAAGACACGCGGUUACGACCCGGCCAAAAACAUGUAGUUUCGACCCGCCUUGAAAACAUGCAGUUGCAACUCCUCUUGAAAACAUGUAGUUGCAGCCCCUCUUGAAAACAUGCAAUUGCGACCCCCUCUUAAAAACAUACAUCUGUGACCCGCCUUGAAAACAUGGAGUUACAGCCCCUCUUGAAAACAUUCAGUUGUGACCCACCUUGAAAACAUGCAGUUCUGGCCCCUCUUGAAAACAUUCACUUGCGGCCCCUAGUUUUGGACCCUCUUGAAAACAUACAGUUGCGCCCGUGCCCUAAAAACAUGCAGUUGCAACCGUGCCUUGAAAACAUGUAGUUGCCCCUCUUGAAAACAUGCAAUUACAACCAUGCCUUAAAACAUGCAGUUGCGACCCACCUUGAAAACAUGCAGUUGCGCCCCCUCUUAAAAACAUGUAGUUGUGACCCCCUUAAAUACAUGCAAUUGCAACCCCGCCUUAAAAACAUGCAGUUGCGACCCUCCUUGAAAACAUGCAGUUGCGGCCCCGCCUUAGAAACAUGCAGUUGCGACCCCGCCUUAAAAACAUGCAAUUGCGACCCACCUUGAAAACAUGCAGUUCUGGCCCCUCUUUGAAAACAUGCAGUUCAGGCCCCGCCUUGGAAAANNNNNNNNNNNNNNNNNNNNNNNNNNNNNNNNNNNNNNNNNNNNNNNNNNNNNNNNNNNNNNNNNNNNNNNNNNNNNNNNNNNNNNNNNNNNNNNNNNNNNNNNNNNNNNNNNNNNNNNNNNNNNNNNNNNNNNNNNNNNNNNNNNNNNNNNNNNNNNNNNNNNNNNNNNNNNNNNNNNNNNNNNNNNNNNNNNNNNNNNNNNNNNNNNNNNNNNNNNNNNNNNNNNNNNNNNNNNNNNNNNNNNNNNNNNNNNNNNNNNNNNNNNNNNNNNNNNNNNNNNNNNNNNNNNNNNNNNNNNNNNNNNNNNNNNNNNNNNNNNNNNNNNNNNNNNNNNNNNNNNNNNNNNNNNNNNNNNNNNNNNNNNNNNNNNNNNNNNNNNCCGCCUUCAAAAUAUGCAAUUGCGACCCCGCCUUAAAAACAUGCAGUUGCAACCCCCGCCUUAAAAAACAUGCAAGUGCAACCCUACCUUAAAAACAUGCAGUUACGGCCCCCCUUAAAAACAUGCAAUUCCAACCCCGCCUUACAUACAUGAAGUUACGGCCCCUCUUGAAAACAUGUAGCCACAGUCAGGUUAUAACAUUUGCAGUUGCAUGUCUAGCGGUGGACAUGCAAGUGGCCUGGACAACUCCUCCUCCUGACCACAAUUGCGGCCCCUUUUAUCAAUCUCAACUUCAUUAUUGUGUUGAGACGGUGAUUUAAAAAAAUUUAUAAGAGACAAAUUUUGUAAAACUAAAAAACUAAGCAAUCAAUUUGGAAUCUCAAGUAACAAAUGAAUACUAAGCUAAAACAAAAUAAAUAUACUGAAGUUGGAAAAGGAGAAAAUAGUGAAAUAAGGAAAAAAUACAGAAAGCAAAAAAAGUAAUUAAUCAUGAGAAAAAGGUUUAAAAAGUAAUUACAAAGAGCUUACCCCUCACCCACAAAAAAAAAGAAGGAAAAAGAAAAGAGCUUGCCCCUAUAAGCUAUAGUGAACAGAUGACAAAACAUGCAAAAAGCUAGGAGCGUCCCAUCCUUUGAUCCCCAUCUUUCCUUUCUAGUCGCGUAAAAAAAUAGAAGAAAGCCCACAUAGAGCGCAUGCAAAAAGCAAAGGCCUGGGUAAAACACAUCGGCUAGCCCUCGUGCUAGACGAGCCGCGCACCUUAGCUCCGGAGAUAACGUACAAAAGACAUUACGAAUCUGAGCAACCAUCGGAGGGCCAGAAGUUCUCAAAAAAAAAAAAAACAUCGGAGGGCCAGAAAAGUGACUGAGACCAUAGUUAAAACUCGGCUAGCUGAGUUUCAGCAAAACCGUUGUUUUUUACUACUUUAGAACUGCUACAUCGUUUCCAAAUAGAUGAUCCAACUUUGUACUAACUUGAAGGGAGUAUUUUACAGCAGCCCAUUUCAAGAGGCAGCACACAUUUUUUUUAUAGCACACACAGUGGCAGAACCCUCAAUCUCUCUGAUUCCUCCCCAAAUCAGCCGCCGCCUCACACUCUUCUCCACCCGCCCCAAAGACAACACUAUUCACAAUUAUAGAUCAUUGCCUGUUGUUUUUUUUACGAUACUUGCAAAUGGAACAAUUUUUCAUUAAUAUUAUGCAUCAAUAGAGUAUUUCAAAUCUACACAAGAAAUCUAUUUAUUGGUUUUUUCAUGUAAAUGUAUUUUUAAUAGUUUGAAAAAACAGGGGCUAGCUCUGUUGAGCUCAAUGAUCAAUGGUCUAUCCAUCUCCAUCAUUGAUCAGGCGCGUCUUUGUCUCGUCUUCAGUGAUACGACAGAAUCGCUUGCCUCAACAGGCACCUAAAAUGGGCCGACCCAGCGCGGGAGGAGCACUCGCUCAGUUGCACACGUCUUGUUUUGCCGGAUUUUUAUUUUAUUUUUAGUUUAUUGCCUUUAUUAAUAUACCUAAAAUAGAAAUUAUUUUACAGAAAUUUUAAAAACAUUCAUCACACAUUUUAAAAAUGUUCAUGCAAUGUAAAAAAAUGGGUGUCAACUAGUUCACUACAAAGAGAUCCGCAGCAACGCGCAGGUGUCAUCUAGUUCUAACAUAUUGCACUUAUUGAUAGUGCAUACAUAGCAAACUCAAGAAUUUGCAUUUUGGUGAUUUCAUUGACAUCUCAAAACACAAAUUUCAAAGCCGUUGUUAUGUUUAGCAUCUACUUUAUCACAUCCCAAUUUCUUACGAACAACCCAAAAGAGACAAGUGCAAUAUUUGUAACCUUAAGAAACAACUGUUUAAUGAUCAUAUUAAGCGAUUGAAAGUCUACUACAUGUCCCGCAGCAACGUGCAGGGCAUCCAUCUAGUUACUCCAAGAGCACAUAAUAGUGCACCAGAAAUUUACCACCUAGAACUUGCAGAACACACCUAUGAUCACGAACAAGCAAAAAUCUAGAGCGAAGGAUUGCCGACUUGCCCGGCGAACAUAACGGUGAGCUCCUCCUUGAUCAAGAACAUGAAGGGGUGGUCGGCGGCAAAGUCCACGAGUUCGACCGGCCUGCUCCAGCCCACCGAACUACUACCAAAGAUGCCAUCGAUGGCUGUGGCCGCGGCCGCUUCGGUCCCUUCUUCGUUCACCUCCACGAAGGACUCGUGAUAGACUUGGGACACGUAGAGCGGCAGCCUCGGCGGCUUCAUGUCACGUAGGUACACAGGAGAGCAGCUGGAGGCCCGAGUCCAUGUCAAUGAAAUUUGUUACGUGGGGUCAGUGGCCAUGUAAGUCAUUUGUAAUCUUGUCGCAAGCAGAAGCAAUGAUUCAUGCUAAGUAACCAAAACAGAAUUCACACACCUCGUCGAGGAAUGCCGGCACACGAUACGAAUAGAUGGUGGACUGGCCAAGAAACUGCGCAUCCAUCUGGCACAAACUACUAGUCGUACAAGCACAUCUAAUGGUGCAGUUGGCAGCCGGGGUAUAAUUGUAGAUGGAGACUGUUAAAAGGAAGAAGAAGAAAGAUGGAGACUGCUGGAUGCUUAGUGCACACUAGCACUUGGAAUUCUGGGUGCACGACGUCAGGCGUGGCGCGACAUGAUGUGCACCAGAAUAAUGACGUACGAGCACUCUUUUACAUUUUCCGGCAGAUAUAUGGCAUGAUUCAAAUAAAUCUGUAGUUGAAAUGACCGUAAACAGCCUUAAUUAUACUAGUGCGCCAAUGUUAAUAUGUUGACGAUGAAACCAAGGGCUAUUUCUCGACCGACGCGAGCGCCUCUGGCGUGGCGGUACCAGGUCCGUCCAGUACUGUAGCUGUGAGUGAGUUUUUUUUUCUUGCCUUUAUUAUCUUUUCUUUUUACUGCUUGUAUCGGUUUUCGUAGGUUUUCCUUUUGUUCUUAUUUUUUAUUGGUUUUAUUCGUUUCUUUCCUUGGGUUUUUUCUUUCACUUUUGUUUUUUUAUGUUUUUUCUCAACACAUGUCUACAUUUUCAUAGACAUUGUACUUUUUUGUAUAAAUCAGGAAUAUUUUUUAUACAUGUUUAACAUUUUUUAUAUACAUGAUUAUUAAGUUU